AUGCCAUGGAAUUUGAUCUACUUUUUCUUUUUUCAAAUGAGAAACGAUCGUAUUCGCUAGAAUCCCCUUUGAUUUCUAAGUAUCUUGCCUUUAACUUACAUUGUUAAGAAUUUCACUACUUUCAUAUUAGCAAUUCAUGGUUUCUGAUUGUUGCGAAUUGUCAUUCUUUUCUUGGCUCCAUAUCAUCCGCGUGUUGUUCAUUCUGCUCUCUUCAUCUUGACAUCUUUUAGAGUGGAUCGUCAACACUUCACACCAAAUCACUUUUUGAAAUUAAAAAAA